rnacentral:rRNA from 1 species
AGGAAUAUUGGUCAAUGGACGCGAGUCUGAACCAGCCAAGUAGCGUGAAGGAUGACUGCCCUAUGGGUUGUAAACUUCUUUUAUAAAGGAAUAAAGUCGGGUAUGCAUACCCGUUUGCAUGUACUUUAUGAAUAAGGAUCGGCUAACUCCGUGCCAGCAGCCGCGGUAAUACGGAGGAUCCGAGCGUUAUCCGGAUUUAUUGGGUUUAAAGGGAGCGUAGAUGGAUGUUUAAGUCAGUUGUGAGAGUUUGCGGCUCAACCGUAAAAUUGCAGUUGAUACUGGAUAUCUUGAGUGCAGUUGAGGCAGGCGGAAUUCGUGGUGUAGCGGUGAAAUGCUUAGAUAUCACGAAGAACUCCGAUUGCGAAGGCAGCCUGCUAAGCUGCAACUGACAUUGAGGCUCGAAAGUGUGGGUAUCAAACAGGAUUAGAUACCCUGGUAGUCCACACGGUAAACGAUGAAUACUCGCUGUUUGCGAUAUACGGCAAGCGGCCAAGCGAAAGCGUUAAGUAUUCCACCUGGGGAGUACGCCGGCAACGGUGAAACUCAAAGGAAUUGACGGGGGCCCGCACAAGCGGAGGAACAUGUGGUUUAAUUCGAUGAUACGCGAGGAACCUUACCCGGGCUUAAAUUGCAGAUGAAUUACGGUGAAAGCCGUAAGCCGCAAGGCAUCUGUGAAGGUGCUGCAUGGUUGUCGUCAGCUCGUGCCGUGAGGUGUCGGCUUAAGUGCCAUAACGAGCGCAACCCUUGUUGUCAGUUACUAACAGGUUCCGCUGAGGACUCUGACAAGACUGCCAUCGUAAGAUGUGAGGAAGGUGGGGAUGACGUCAAAUCAGCACGGCCCUUACGUCCGGGGCUACACACGUGUUACAAUGGGGGGUACAGAGGGCCGCUACCACGCGAGUGGAUGCCAAUCCCCAAAACCUCUCUCAGUUCGGACUGGAGUCUGCAACCCGACUCCACGAAGCUGGAUUCGCUAGUAAUCGCGCAUCAGCCACGGCGCGGUGAAUACGUUCCCG